AUUGAACGCUGGCGGCAGGCCUAACACAUGCAAGUCGAACGGUAACAGGAAGCAGCUUGCUGCUUUGCUGACGAGUGGCGGACGGGUGAGUAAUGUCUGGGAAACUGCCCGAUGGAGGGGGAUAACUACUGGAAACGGUAGCUAAUACCGCAUAACGUCGCAAGCCCAAAGAGGGGGACCUUAGGGCCUCUUGCCAUCGGAUGUGCCCAGAUGGGAUUAGCUAGUAGGUGGGGUAACGGCUCACCUAGGCGACGAUCCCUAGCUGGUCUGAGAGGAUGACCAGCCACACUGGAACUGAGACACGGUCCAGACUCCUACAGGAGGCAGCAGUGGGGAAUAUUGCACAAUGGGCGCAAGCCUGAUGCAGCCAUGCCGCGUGUAUGAAGAAGGCCUUCGGGUUGUAAAGUACUUUCAGCGGGGAGGAAGGGAGUAAAGUUAAUACCUUUGCUCAUUGACGUUACCCGCAGAAGAAGCACCGGCUAACUCCGUG
rnacentral:rRNA from 1 species